rnacentral:rRNA from 1 species
GACGAACGCUGGCGGCGUGCCUAAUACAUGCAAGUUGAGCGCUGAAGGUUGGUACUUGUACCAACUGGAUGAGCAGCGAACGGGUGAGUAACGCGUGGGGAAUCUGCCUUUGAGCGGGGGACAACAUUUGGAAACGAAUGCUAAUACCGCAUAAAAACUUUAAACACAAGUUUUAAGUUUGAAAGAUGCAAUUGCAUCACUCAAAGAUGAUCCCGCGUUGUAUUAGCUAGUUGGUGAGGUAAAGGCUCACCAAGGCGAUGAUACAUAGCCGACCUGAGAGGGUGAUCGGCCACAUUGGGACUGAGACACGGCCCAAACUCCUACGGGAGGCAGCAGUAGGGAAUCUUCGGCAAUAGACGAAAGUCUGACAGAGCAACGCCGCGUGAGUGAAGAAGGUUUUCGGAUCGUAAAACUCUGUUGGUAGAGAAGAACGUUGGUGAGAGUGGAAAGCUCAUCAAGUGACGGUAACUACCCAGAAAGGGACGGCUAACUACGUG